GCGGGUACGCACCGCCACUCGAAGUACGGCCUGACCAGGCUGUACGCCGAAACCCGCAGGUCAGCGCACCCGCUCCGAUCAGCUUCCCAAGCUGAAUACGGGAGUUCGAUUCUCCUCACCCGCUCCA
rnacentral:tRNA from 1 species